rnacentral:rRNA from 1 species
UACGUAGGGUGCAAGCGUUGUCCGGAAUUAUUGGGCGUAAAGAGCUCGUAGGCGGUCUGUCGCGUCGGCUGUGAAAACCCGGAGCUCAACUCCGGGCCUGCAGUCGAUACGGGCAGACUGGAGUUCGGCAGGGGAGACUGGAAUUCCUGGUGUAGCGGUGAAAUGCGCAGAUAUCAGGAGGAACACCGGUGGCGAAAGCGGCUUACUGGGUCUCUUCUGACGCUGAGGAACGAAAGCUAGGGGAGCGAACGGG